GACGAACCGUACGAACGUUAUUCGGAAUCACUGGGCUUAAAGGGUGCGUAGGCGGCGCGACAAGUUGGGUGUGAAAUCCCUCGGCUCAACCGAGGAACUGCGCCCAAAACUGUCGUGCCCGAGGGAGACAGAGGUGAGCGGAACUUAGGGUGGAGCGGUGAAAUGCGUUGAUAUCCUAAGGAACACCGGUGGCGAAAGCGGCUCACUGGGUCUCUUCUGACGCUGAGGCACGAAAGCUAGGGUAGCGAACGGG
rnacentral:rRNA from 1 species